UUUUUUUUUUUUUUUUUCUUUUUUUUUUUUUUUUUUUUUUUUUGGAAUUAAAUAGAUUUUUUA
rnacentral:ribozyme from 11 species